rnacentral:rRNA from 1 species
GAUGAACGCUGGCGGCGUGCCUAAUACAUGCAAGCCGAGCGAACGGACGAGUAGCUUGCUUCUCUGUUGUUUGCGGCGGACGGGCGUAAAACGUGUGGAUACUGCACGUAUAAGACUGAGAGCUCCCCGGGAGAGGAGUUCACCCACCAUAUAAUAAUUUGAAGCCCAUUGUUCAUGAUUGAAAGACGGUCGUUCGGGCACGUAUAUAUGGAUCCUCGCUGCAUUAGCUAGUUGGUAAGGUACCGGCUUACCAAGGCAACGAUGGAUAGCCGACGUGAGAGGGGGAUCGCCCACACUGGAACUGGGACCGGGUCCAGACCCCUACGGGAGGCAGCAGUAGGGAAUGGUCCGCAAUGGGCGAAAGCCUGACGGAGCAACAGCGCGUGAGUGAUGAGGAUCUACGGAUCGUGAGACGCUGUUAUUAGUGAAGAACAUAUGUGUAAGUAGCUGUGCACAUCUUGACGGUACCUAGUCAGAAAGCCACGGCUAACUACGUG